UACGUAGGGGGCAAGCGUUGUCCGGAAUCAUUGGGCGUAAAGCGCGUGUAGGCGGUUCGGUAAGUCUGCUGUGAAAGUCCAGGGCUCAACCCUGGGAUGCCGGUGGAUACUGUCGGGCUAGAGUACGGAAGAGGCGAGUGGAAUUCCCGGUGUAGCGGUGAAAUGCGCAGAUAUCAGGAAGAACACCUAUGGCGAAGGCAGCUCUCUGGGACGGUACUGACGCUGAGACGCGAAAGCGUGGGGAGCGAACAGG
rnacentral:rRNA from 1 species